AAUAGCUCAGUUGGUAGAGCAACGGACUGUUAAUCCGUUUGUCCCUGGUUCAAGUCCAGG
rnacentral:tRNA from 4 species